AGCGGCGGAUGGGUGAGUAACACGUGGGGAGCCUGCCCCUAAGUCUGGGAUACCAUUUGGAAACAGGUGCUAAUACCGGAUAAUAAAGCAGAUCGCAUGAUCAGCUUUUGAAAGGCGGCGUAAGCUGUCGCUAAGGGAUGGCCCCGCGGUGCAUUAGCUAGUUGGUAAGGUAACGGCUUACCAAGGCGACGAUGCAUAGCCGAGUUGAGAGACUGAUCGGCCACAUUGGGACUGAGACACGGCCCAAACUCCUACGGGAGGCAGCAGUAGGGAAUCUUCCACAAUGGACGCAAGUCUGAUGGAGCAACGCCGCGUGAGUGAAGAAGGUUUUCGGAUCGUAAAGCUCUGUUGUUGGUGAAGAAGGAUAGAGGUAGUAACUGGCCUUUAUUUGACGGUAAUCAACCAGAAAGUCACGGCUAACUACGUGCCAGCAGCCGCGGUAAUACGUAGGUGGCAAGCGUUGUCCGGAUUUAUUGGGCGUAAAGCGAGCGCAGGCGGAAAAAUAAGUCUAAUGUGAAAGCCCUCGGCUUAACCGAGGAACUGCAUCGGAAACUGUUUUUCUUGAGUGCAGAAGAGGAGAGUGGAACUCCAUGUGUAGCGGUGGAAUGCGUAGAUAUAUGGAAGAACACCAGUGGCGAAGGCGGCUCUCUGGUCUGCAACUGACGCUGAGGCUCGAAAGCAUGGGUAGCGAACAGGAUUAGAUACCCUGGUAGUCCAUGCCGUAAACGAUGAGUGCUAAGUGU
rnacentral:rRNA from 1 species